CAUGUGUCUUAGCUUGCUAAGGCCGAUGGCGACCGGCGCACGGGUGAGUAACACGUAUCCAACUUGCCGUCUACUCUUGGACAGCCUUCUGAAAGGAAGAUACUACAAGAUGGCAUCAUGAGUCCGCAUGUUCACAUGAUUAAAGGUAUUCCGGUAGACGAUGGGGAUGCGUUCCAUUAGAUAGUAGGCGGGGUAACGGCCCACCUAGUCUUCGAUGGAUAGGGGUUCUGAGAGGAAGGUCCCCCACAUUGGAACUGAGACACGGUCCAAACUCCUACGGGAGGCAGCAGUGAGGAAUAUUGGUCAAUGGGCGAGAGCCUGAACCAGCCAAGUAGCGUGAAGGAUGACUGCCCUAUGGGUUGUAAACUUCUUUUAUAAAGGAAUAAAGUCGGGUAUGUAUACCCGUUUGCAUGUACUUUAUGAAUAAGGAUCGGCUAACUCCGUGCCAGCAGCCGCGGUAAUACGGAGGAUCCGAGCGUUAUCCGGAUUUAUUGGGUUUAAAGGGAGCGUAGAUGGAUGUUUAAGUCAGUUGUGAAAGUUUGCGGCUCAACCGUAAAAUUGCAGUUGAUACUGGAUAUCUUGAGUGCAGUUGAGGCAGGCGGAAUUCGUGGUGUAGCGGUGAAAUGCUUAGAUAUCACGAAGAACUCCGAUUG
rnacentral:rRNA from 1 species